GGGUGUUUCUAUCACUGCCACUCUCUAACUCCUCUAGGUCUGUUAGGAGGAGUCAUGAGCAAGACUUGCAAGAAUUAAAAUAUGAAGUACCACCAUCAGACCUGUCAACUUUCAGCAAAAAGCCUGGGCAAUGGAAGUAAUCAAAUGCAAAGUAUGGCAGAGAGAAGAGAGUGAAGAAGAUUUAAGCAUUUUUAAUGAUUGAGACUUCAAAUCCAUUUCAUCAAUCAUAAUAUCAGGCUUUACCUGGCAACCACAGAGGAGAACGUCUUGCAAAGGAGGUGAUCACAGCCAGAUGUGCUCAACACAAGCGUGUGGCGAAGCCAGACACCAUGUAAGAAGUUUGACUACUCUACU
rnacentral:lncRNA from 1 species